rnacentral:lncRNA from 1 species
AAGGCAAAAGCUAAUAUAUUAAUAAACCCAAGCAUAAGGAAUGCUAAGGUAAAGAAAUAAUAGUACAGGAAUUCAUUGUCUAAUACAUGGUAUACACCUCUCAUAACACUACAGGAAAAUAUGAACAUCACCACUACAUAGAAUUAAGGUGAAUCAUCGAUACUGAGAUUAGAAAACAGAGAUUUACUCAUCCAGGCAUAGAAUCAAAUUAAGGAUAGAACAUAAAAUCUAAAUAAGGAUCGAGAAAUUUGGAUCUCUUGGGAUUUCGCUCCAAGUCACUAGUGAGCAUCCAGACGGUUGAAGAACAUGCG